rnacentral:misc_RNA from 1 species
GGAAUGAAACACGGGAUUCCAACAAGAACAAGAAUAGAUGAGGAAAGAACGACAAUUUCUUUAUUGAUCAGAACUGCCUCCUUUCUCAGAUUACAUUUCUAUUUAUAGACAGCCUCUCAACUGUUACAAUUAAGUCUGACUUCCCUAACAACUUCAGUUAUUUCCCCCUAUUGACAACUGCCCAUAACAGAUCACAUCUUACUUAUACAAUAUAUUCUCUUAUACAUUCCUACAGCUCCUAUUCUUAUUAUUAUAAUAACAGGAUCCUGUCACAUCCGUAAGUUUCUUCGUAUGGGGGUGCAUGCACU